AUGAAAAAGAAGAGAAAGUAACUCAACACAUUGUCGAGAUGGAUGAAGUGAGUGGAAGAAAAAUUAUUGCCUCUUCUUGUUUCAAACUCUUCUUCUUUCUCUUCUUUUUCUCUUCUUUCUGGUU
rnacentral:ribozyme from 13 species